ACGCACGCUGGCGGCGUGCUUAACACAUGCAAGUCGAACGGUGAAGGGACCGGUUUUUGCUGGUUCUGGAUGAGUGGCGAACGGGUGAGUAACACGUGAGUAACCUGCCCCCUUCUUCUGGAUAACCGCAUGAAAGUGUGGCUAAUACGGGAUAUUCUGCGCCUGCUGCAUGGUGGGUGUGGGAAAGAUAUUGUUUCGGUGGGGGAUGGGCUCGCGGCCUAUCAGCUUGUUGGUGGGGUGAGGGCCUACCAAGGCGGUGACGGGUAGCCGGCCUGAGAGGGUGGACGGUCACACUGGGACUGAGACACGGCCCAGACUCCUACGGGAGGCAGCAGUGGGGAAUAUUGCACAAUGGGCGCAAGCCUGAUGCAGCGACGCCGCGUGAGGGAUGGAGGCCUUCGGGUUGUAAACCUCUUUCGCCAGUGAAGCAGGCCUGUCCCUUUUGUGGGUGGGUUGACGGUAGCUGGAUAAGAAGCGCCGGCUAACUACGUG
rnacentral:rRNA from 1 species